rnacentral:rRNA from 1 species
AUCCUGGGAAACUGGGGAUAAUUCCGGAUAGGUCACAGAUGCUGGAAUGCACUGUGGCUCAAAGCUCCGGCGCCCAAGGAUGGGUCUGCGGCCUAUCAGGGUUGUAGUGGGUGUAAUGUACCUACUAGCCUACGACGGGUACGGGUUGUGAGAGCAAGAGCCCGGAGAUGGAUUCUGAGACACGAAUCCAGGCCNUACGGGGUGCAGCAGGCGCGAAAACUUUACAAUGCGGGAAACCGUGAUAAGGGAAUCUCGAGUGCCAGCAUAUAAUGUUGGCUGUCCAGAUGCCUAAAAAGCAUCUGUUAGCAAGGGCCGGGCAAGACCGGUGCCAGCCGCCGUGGUAACACCGGCGGCCCGAGUGGUAACCGCUAUUGUUGGGUCUAAAGGGUCUGUAGCCGGCCAGGUAAGUCCCUUGGGAAAUCUGGCAGCUCAACUGUCAGGCUGCUAGGGGAUACUGUUUGGCUUGGGACCGGGAGAGGUGAGAGGUACCUUGGGGGUAGGGGUGAAAUCUUGUGAUCCUCGGGGGACCACCAGUGGCGAAGGCGUCUCACCAGAACGGGUCCGACGGUAAGGGACGAAAGCUAGGGGCACGAACCGGAUUAGAUACCCGGGUAGUCCUAGCCGUAAACGAUGCUCGCUAGGUGUCAGUCACGGUGCGACCGUGAUUGGUGCCGUAGGGAAGCCGUGAAGCGAGCCACCUGGGAAGUAUGGCCGCAAGGCUGAAACUUAAAGGAAU